rnacentral:rRNA from 1 species
UACGAAGGGUGCAAGCGUUACUCGGAAUUACUGGGCGUAAAGCGUGCGUAGGUGGUUUGUUAAGUCUGAUGUGAAAGCCCUGGGCUCAACCUGGGAAUUGCAUUGGAUACUGGCAGGCUAGAGUGCGGUAGAGGAUGGCAGAAUUCCCGGUGUAGCAGUGAAAUGCGUAGAGAUCGGGAGGAACAUCUGUGGCGAAGGCGGCCAUCUGGACCAGCACUGACACUGAGGCACGAAAGCGUGGGGAGCAAACAGG